rnacentral:rRNA from 1 species
GAUGAACGCUGGCGGCGUGCCUAAUACAUGCAAGUCGAGCGGAAAGACCCGGCGCUUGCUGCUCUGACGUUUGCGGAGGGCGGGUGAAUCACACGUGGAUCCCCUCCCUAUAUUACUGGGAUCACUUCGAGACACCGGCGAUUAUCCCAGAUAAUCUAUUGCACCGCGUGGUUCAAUGGUGAAAGACGGUUUUGCUGUCUCUUCUCGCUGGUUCUGAGCUGGAUUGGGUGGUUGGUACGGUCACGGCUUACCACGGCUACGAUGCGUGGCCGACCGGCGAGGGUGAUCGGCCGCACGGGAACUGAGACACGGUCCAGACUCCUACGGGAGGCAGCAGUAGGGAAUCGUCCGCAAUGGGCGAAAGCCUGACGGAGCAACGCCGCGUGAGUGAUGAAGGUGUUCGGAGCGUAAAACUCUGUUAUUAGGGAAGAACAAAUGUGUAAGUAACUGUGCACGUCUUGACGGUACCUAAUCAGAAAGCCACGGCUAACUACGUG